rnacentral:lncRNA from 1 species
UCCCAGAUAGAUUUUCUGGAAUAUAGCUAAAUCAUGUUUAUAACACUGCUUGUAAAAUUGUAUCAUUUUGUAAUUAUUUACAUUAUUGAUUAGCACUUAGGAUACAAUAUGUACUUUAAUCUGUUCAUACCAGGAACCUUUUGUGAAAAAAGUGCAACUUUGUGACAUGAUCUGCCUGCCUGACUAUAUAUACCUGAGCAGCAUACAGCUUAUUACUGCGUAAAAAGAAACAUAUCAAGAUAAUUCUGAAUCAGAUUGUGUGCUGGAAAAAUGGCCUUACAUCCAAAGGAGUGAAAUUUGGAGUCAUUUGCCAUCUACUUAAGCCAUUCUGGAAUAUGAAAAAAUAAGACUGCAUUGACAACACCCUGAUCCUCGUGUUCAGAUCUUUUGUGAUUUCUUGUGAAGGGUCUUUGAUUUUUGCAUAACAAUAAAAAAUAUAUUAAUAU